rnacentral:rRNA from 1 species
GACGAACGCUGGCGGCGUGCUUAACACAUGCAAGUCGAACGGAAAGGCCCCUUUGGGGGUACUCGAGUGGCGAACGGGUGAGUAACACGUGAGUAACCUGCCCUUGACUUCGGGAUAACUUCAGGAAACUGGGGCUAAUACCGGAUAGGAAUCCUUGCUGCAUGGUGGGGGUUGGAAAGCUUCGGCGGUUUUGGAUGGACUCGCGGCUUAUCAGCUUGUUGGUGGGGUAGUGGCUUACCAAGGCUUUGACGGGUAGCCGGCCUGAGAGGGCGACCGGCCACAUUGGGACUGAGAUACGGCCCAGACUCCUACGGGAGGCAGCAGUGGGGAAUAUUGCACAAUGGGCGGAAGCCUGAUGCAGCAACGCCGCGUGCGGGAUGGCGGCCUUCGGGUUGUAAACCGCUUUCAGCAGGGGCGAAGCUUUUGUGACGGUACCUGCAGAAGAAGCACCGGCUAACUACGUG